rnacentral:rRNA from 1 species
UACGGAGGGGGCUAGCGUUAUUCGGAAUUACUGGGCGUAAAGCGCACGUAGGCGGCUUUGCAAGUUAGAGGUGAAAGCCUGGAGCUCAACUCCAGAACUGCCUUUAAAACUGCAUCGCUUGAAUCCAGGAGAGGUGAGUGGAAUUCCGAGUGUAGAGGUGAAAUUCGUAGAUAUUCGCAAGAACACCAGUGGCGAAGGCGGCUCACUGGCCCAUAACUGACGCUGAGGCACGGAAAGCGUGGGGAGCAAACAGG